rnacentral:misc_RNA from 1 species
GUUUAAGAGCUCCAAAAUUCUUUCAUCUUCACCAAAACAAUGGCAACCUUAAACCCUUUUGGCUCUAGAACAAACCCAUUUCAGAAAAAGCUUCAUAAUCAUCGUCCAAUUUAUGCUAAAUCCAUUUCUUGUCUCACUUUCAGAACCUCACCUCCACCAUUUUACCCUUCCACCAUUAAAGCUUGUUCUUUUUCUUCAUCUUCUUCACAAAAUUCUAAAAUCCCCAAACCCCUCAUCCCUCAAACCCCUAACGAACAACCCCAUAACCUAUUUUCAUUCGUUAAGCCAACACUCAUCGCUACUGUAACUGCCACUACCCUUUUGUUCGCAAGAUACUUUGUCUUCCCGAAACCUGCACUUGCUAACCAAGCUUUUACUCCGACGGCCAUGGAAACUGAUGUGGUGAGAGAUGCAGUUUCAGAGGAAGAAAGGGAAAGAGCAAUUGAAGAGCACCUGGUUAAUAACCCGAAUGAUGUGGAAGCUUUAAGGAAUUUGAUGGAAAUUCGGAUAAAGAAUAAGAAAAUACUGGAUGCUAUUAGCAUUAUUGAUAGGUUAAUUGAGCUCGAACCGAACGAGAACGAAUGGCCCUUGUUGAAAUCUCAUUUGUAUGUGAACUUUGGGGAGAUUGAGUUGGCCAAAGUUGGGUUCAAUGAGAUACUAAAGAAAGACCCUUUUCGCGUUGAGGCUUAUCAUGGACUGGUUAUGGCAGCUUCACAAG